GAUGAGCGCUGGCGGCGUGCCUAAUACAUGCAAGUCGAGCGAACGGACGAGAAGCUUGCUUCUCUGAUGUUAGCGGCGGACGGGUGAGUAACACGUGGAUAACCUACCUAUAAGACUGGGAUAACUUCGGGAAACCGGAGCUAAUACCGGAUAAUAUUUUGAACCGCAUGGUUCAAAANGUGAAAGAACGGUCUUGCUGUCACUUAUAGAUGGAUCCGCGCUGCAUUAGCUAGUUGGUAAGGUAACGGCUUACCAAGGCAACGAUGCAUAGCCGACCUGAGAGGGUGAUCGGCCACACUGGAACUGAGACACGGUCCAGACUCCUACGGGAGGCAGCAGUAGGGAAUCUUCCGCAAUGGGCGAAAGCCUGACGGAGCAACGCCGCGUGAGUGAUGAAGGUCUUCGGAUCGUAAAACUCUGUUAUUAGGGAAGAACAUAUGUGUAAGUAACUGUGCACAUCUUGACGGUACCUAAUCAGAAAGCCACGGCUAACUACGUGCCAGCAGCCGCGGUAAUACGUAGGUGGCAAGCGUUAUCCGGAAUUAUUGGGCGUAAAGCGCGCGUAGGCGGUUUUUUAAGUCUGAUGUGAAAGCCCACGGCUCAACCGUGGAGGGUCAUUGGAAACUGGAAAACUUGAGUGCAGAAGAGGAAAGUGGAAUUCCAUGUGUAGCGGUGAAAUGCGCAGAGAUAUGGAGGAACACCAGUGGCGAAGGCGACUUUCUGGUCUGUAACUGACGCUGAUGUGCGAAAGCGUGGGGAUCAAACAGGAUUAGAUACCCUGGUAGUCCACGCCGUAAACGAUGAGUGCUAAGUGUUAGGGGGUUUCCGCCCCUUAGUGCUGCAGCUAACGCAUUAAGCACUCCGCCUGGGGAGUACGACCGCAAGGUUGAAACUCAAAGGAAUUGACGGGGACCCGCACAAGCGGUGGAGCAUGUGGUUUAAUUCGAAGCAACGCGAAGAACCUUACCAAAUCUUGACAUCCUUUGACAACUCUAGAGAUAGAGCCUUCCCCUUCGGGGGGCAAAGUGACAGGUGGUGCAUGGUUGUCGUCAGCUCGUGUCGUGAGAUGUUGGGUUAAGUCCCGCAACGAGCGCAACCCUUAAGCUUAGUUGCCAUCAUUAAGUUGGGCACUCUAAGUUGACUGCCGGUGACAAACCGGAGGAAGGUGGGGAUGACGUCAAAUCAUCAUGCCCCUUAUGAUUUGGGCUACACACGUGCUACAAUGGACAAUACAAAGGGCAGCGAAACCGCGAGGUCAAGCAAAUCCCAUAAAGUUGUUCUCAGUUCGGAUUGUAGUCUGCAACACGACUACAUGAAGCUGGAAUCGCUAGUAAUCGUAGAUCAGCAUGCUACGGUGAAUACGUUCCCGGGUCU
rnacentral:rRNA from 1 species